rnacentral:rRNA from 1 species
AGUUUGAUCCUGGCUCAGAUUGAACGCUGGCGGGAUGCUUUACGGCACAAGUCAGACGGCAGCACGGACUUCGGUCUGGUGGCGAGUGGCGAACGGGUGAGUAAUGUAUCGGAACGUGCCUAGUAGCGGGGGAUAACUACGCGAAAGCGUAGCUAAUACCGCAUACGCCCUUCGGGGGAAAAGCGGGGACCUUCGGGCCUCGCACUAAUGGGAAGCGGCCGAUAUCGGAUUAGCUAGUUGGUGGGGUAACGGCUCACCAAGGCGACGAUCCGUAGCUGGUUUGAAGGACGACCAGCCACACUGGGACUGAGACACGGCCCAGACUCCUACGGGAGGCAGCAGUGGGAAUUUUGGACAAUGGGGGAAACCUGAUCCAGCCAUCGCGUGUGCGAUGAAGGCCUUCGGGUUGUAAAGCACUUUUGGCAGGAAAGAAACGGCACGGGAUAAUACCCCGUGCAACUGACGGUACCUGCAGAGAUAAGCACCGGCUAACUACGUGCCAGCAGCCGCGGUAAUACGUAGGGUGCAAGCGUUAAUCGGAAUUACGCAGGCGUAAAAGCAUUGCGCAGGCGGUUCAGGAAAGAAAGAUGUUGAAAUCCCAGAGCUUAACUUUGGAACUGCAUUUUUAACUACCGAGCUAGAGUGUGUCAGAGGAGGUGGAAUUCCGCGUGUAGCAGUGAAAUGCGUAGAUAUGCGGAGGAACACCGAUAGCGAAGGCAGCCUCCUGGGAUAACACUGACGCUCAUGCACGAAAGCGUGGGAGCAAACAGGAUUAGAUACCCUGGUAGUCCACGCCCUAAACGAUGUCAACUAGCUGUUGGGGCCUUCGGGCCUUGGUAGCGCAACUAACGCGUGAAGUUGACCGCCUGGGAAAUACGGUCGCAAGAUUAAAACUCAAAGGAAUUGACGGGGACCCGCACAAGCGGUGGAUGAUGUGGAUUAAUUCGAUGCAACGCGAAAAACCUUACCUACCCUUGACAUGUCUGGAAUCCCGAAGAGAUUUGGGAGUGCUCGCAAAGGGCGGAACACGGGUGCUGCAUGGCUGUCGUCAGCUCGUGUCGUGAGAUGUUGGGUUAAGUCCCGCAACAGCAGGCGCAACCCUUGUCAUUGGAUUGCUACGAAGGCACUCUAAUGAGACUGCCGGUGACAAACUUCGGAGGAAGGUGGGGAUGACGUCAAGUCCUCAUGGCCCUUAUGGGUAGGGCUUCACACGUCAUACAAUGGUCGGGACAGAGGGUCGCCAACCCGCGAGGAGCCAAUCCCAUUGAUCGUGAGUCCGGAUCGCAGUCUGCAACUCGACUGCGUGAAGUCGGAAUCAUGCUAGUAAUCGCGAGGAUCAACGUAUCGCGGUGAAUACGUUCCCGGGUCUUGUACACACCAACACGUCCACACCAUGGGAGUGGGUUUUACCAGAAGUAGUUAGCCUAACCGUAAGAGGGCGAUUACCACGGUAGGAUUCAUGACUGGGGUGAAGUC